UGGGGAAUUUUGGACAAUGGGCGCAAGCCUGAUCCAGCCAUGCCGCGUGGGUGAAGAAGGCCUUCGGGUUGUAAAGCCCUUUCGGCUGGGACGAAAAGGUCCGUGCUAACACCACGGACUAAUGACGGUACCAGCAGAAGAAGCACCGGCUAACUACGUGCCAGCAGCCGCGGUAAUACGUAGGGUGCAGGCGUUAAUCGGAAUUACUGGGCGUAAAGCGUGCGCAGGCGGUCUUUUAAGUCAGAUGUGAAAUCCCCGGGCUUAACCUGGGAACUGCGUUUGAAACUGGAAGGCUAGAGUGUGGCAGAGGGGGGUGGAAUUCCACGUGUAGCAGUGAAAUGCGUAGAUAUGUGGAGGAACACCGAUGGCGAAGGCAGCCCCCUGGGCUAACACUGACGCUCAUGCACGAAAGCGUGGGGAGCAAACAG
rnacentral:rRNA from 1 species